UUUUUGGAAAUAAUUUAAAGUCUAAUCUGCCCACUGAUAAAUAUAUUAAAGGGCUGCAGUAUUUUGACUGUACAAAGGUAGCAUAAUCAUUAGUCUCUUAAUUGGUGACUUGUAUGAAAGAUUGGAUGAAAUAUAAACUGUCUCUAAUUAAUUUAUAAAAUUUAAUUUUUUAGUAAAAAAGCUAAAAUAAUUUUAAAAGACGAGAAGACCCUAUAGAGUUUUAUAAUUUAUUUGAUUAUUAUUUAUAUGUAAAUUUUAAAAUUAAAAUUAAAUAAAUUAUUUUGUUGGGGUGACAGAAAAAUUAAAUUAACUUUUUUAAAUAAUUAACAUUAAUUUAUGAAUAAAUGAUCCAUUAAUAUUGAUUAAAAGAAAAAAUUACCUUAGGGAUAACAGCGUAAUUUUUUUUUUUAGUUCAAAUAGGAAAAAAAGUUUGCGACCUCGAUGUUGGAUUAAGAUAAAAUUUAAAUG
rnacentral:rRNA from 1 species